GGAUGCGAUCAUACCAGCACUAAAGCACCGGAUCCCAUCAGAACUCCGAAGUUAAGCCACCGGAUCCCAUAAGAACUCCGAAGUUAAGUGUGCUUGGGCGAGAGUAGUACUAGGAUGGGUGAUCUCCUGGGAAGUCCUCGUGUUGCAUCCC
rnacentral:rRNA from 1 species